rnacentral:tRNA from 1 species
CCUUAGGAGCUUGAACAAGCAGUAGUUUUGUAAACUGACGAUAUAUAAUAGUUAUUUUGGGCUG